rnacentral:tRNA from 1 species
GAGGGUGUAGCUCAGUGAUAGAGGGUGUGCGUAGCAUGCAUGAUGUCCUGGGUUCAAUCCCCAGCACCUCCA